GAUGGCUGAUUUUUUAGGCGAAAGAUUGUAAAUCUUUUUAAGACUUAUUGUCUC
rnacentral:tRNA from 1 species